AGCCAUGCGAGUCGCGAGCCUUAGGGGCUCGGCAUACUGCUCAGUAACACGUGGAUAACCUGCCCUAUUGUCUGGAAUAACCUCGGGAAACUGAGAACCGGAUAGCCCACAAUGCCUGGAACGGUUUGUGGGUGAAGAUAGGAUGGGUCUGCGGCGUAUCAGGUUGUAGGGGGUGUAAUGGACCUCCUAGCCAUCGACGCGUACGGGUGUUGGGAGACAUAGCCCGGAGAUGGAUUCUGAGACACGAAUCCAGACCCUACGGUGUGCAGCAGGCGCGAAAACUUCACACUGCAGGAAACUGUGAUGAGGGAACUCAAGUGCUAUCACUAUGUGGUAGCUUUUCUUGACUAUUAAUCGGUCAUGGAAUAAGGGCUGGGAAAGACCGGUGCCAGCCGCCGCGGUAAUACCGGCAGCUCAAGUGGUCGUCGCUUUUAUUGGGCCUAAAACGUCCGUAGCCUGUUUGGUAAAUCUGUGGGUAAAUCAACCAGCUUAACUGGUUGAAUUCUGCAGAGACUGCCAGACUAGGGACCGGGAGAGGUGUGGGGUACUCUAGGGGUAGGGGUAAAAUCCUGUCAUCCUUAGAGGACCACCAGUUGCGAGGCGCCACACUGGACGGAUCCGACGGUCAGGGACGAGCCUAGGGGCACGAACCGGAUUAGAUACCCGGGUAGUCCUAGGUGUAAACGCUGGUGAACUUGGUGUCGGGGAUCCGUAUGGGUCCUCGGUGCGGAUGAGAUGUUAAGUUCACUGCUGGGGAGUACGGUCGCAGCUGAAACUCAAAG
rnacentral:rRNA from 1 species